GUGAAAGCAAUCUCUUUUGAUGGGACUACGGCUUAAUAAUUGUCAUUAGUCCACGUGCCAUUACUUAUAUGCCGUUACUUACAUCGAGUUAGUUUCAGAGAGUGACAAAUGACGAUAACGAGGAGGAUGAAGAUGAUGAGCUUAUUGAUCUAAUCCCAGUAUUAUUAUUGAACAGUCGUCAUUAUUGUUUCUGGUUGAUCCUGAAACAAAUUCCAUCUCAGUCAAUAAGCUCUGGCUCGGUCGUAAGAUUGGUAGCAGUCGUCUAGAGAGAGGACCGGACCAGCUACCUAUUAUUUUCCUGAACUCAAUCUAGUAUGUUAGGAGGAGGGCUUCACGAGAAUCAAGGUCGGGGGACCCAAAUUAAGAGUGAUCCGGAAUCCUGCGAUUAUCAUUAUCCCACUUUACUAUUGAGAUUUACUCCAAGAACAUAAGCAGUUUAAGGACUUGCUUAGGUCCUAACUGCUCACUAACUGAUGCUUAAUUUUUUCUUUACCUGUUCUACUGUUAGUUUGAUUUCCAUUGAAGUUUUCUGCGAAUUUUUUUUCAGGUUCUCAUAUUCAGACGAAGAAGGAAGUCGAAAUUAAGCUCGCGAGUGGCAUUUUCCCAGUUGAAUUGGUCCCCUUUUUCUUUCGAGUUUUUGUGCUUUUUUAGUACUGUCGUGGUCAUUGCAUCGGUAUCUUAUUCAUUCAGAAUUUUGAUGCUUUACUUUCACGUUCUUUUAUGGGAUACGGACUUGUGCUUUUGUUCUGUGCAUUUCUUAGAGUUGUUUGAAUGACAAAGAUAUUGGUUGGCUUGCUUGCUUCCAGUAAGUCGGCAGUGGUAACUUUUAGCACGAUUGUAAUCCCAAGCAACGCAUCUUUGGUGAUCUUUUAUGAUGUAUCUCUUGUCGGUGGCGAGCAAUGAGAGGGAGUACUGUGCAUGUCUAUCGUGAAGACUAAUCACGUCCAUCCAAUUCUUCCCCAAUACAACUUCAAAUAACUCACCUCGCUGCAUUACCUCAUUGUACUGCAGUUGGCCCAUUAUGUUGCAUCUCUGCUGCGGAAUGCCGUAGUCGAGAAACAAAGAAACUCUGGCCAAGAAAACUUCCUUCCGGU
rnacentral:lncRNA from 1 species